CGGCUGGAGUGUGAGAUGGAACGUUCCGCGAGGGGCAGCGGCCGCUGAGAGAUGCAACCUUGUGGGGGGGUCGGCGACAUGGCAGCGGCCAAUGUGAGAUGGAAUCGUCCAAGGGGAGUCGCGGGGGGCGGGGCCAGGACGCUGGGCGCCCCCUGGAGGCGUUGCCCAGAGGUGGGGGGCCGCCGCCGGCUCCUUGCAGGCUGUAGCCCAGAGGCCCUGGCCGGGCUGGCCCUGCUUUGAGCAGGGGGUUGGACUAGAUCAGCGGUUCUCGCCUUUUCUUGUUUUUACCAGGCCCUGUUUGUAAACAUCCAUGGCGAGUCGUGAUCCAGUAAAUAGUUUAAGUCGAAAACAGCUCCUGGUCCCUCGCUGCUGCCCUGCUGGCCCCAGCCCCCCAGUGUGUGGGGUAGGGGGGGACUCAAGCAGCCCCUGGCAGGCUGCAACUCUGCCAGCCUGCAAGGGAAAUCCCGUGUUUCCCACGUUUUUCUCCUAGAAAGGAGAAGAUGUUUCUAAAGUUUGGGACCCUUUCUAUAUUGGUGAGAGCCACUUUUGUGACUCACGGGUUGAGAAACGCUGGACUACAUGCUCUCCCAAAGACCCUUCCAGCCCUCGCUUUCUAUGAUCCUGUGACAGUCAUAGUGCUGAUAACACCUUCUAAUAGUGCUUAAAGUCCUGUACGGACAAUAGGUUUGCUCAAGCGAUGGUGCCCUGCAGUGCUUCUGUCACUUACUUCCCAGGCAGGCAUCAAAUUAGAGCAGAGGUUUUGCUUUUUUCCCCGGUGUGGUGUUUUGUGAGGCUGGGGAGUUGGAACGAAGUGCUAAGACAGUAUCCAGCUGCUAAUGAAUCUAAGCAUUUACUAUCCUUUAAACUAAAUAGUACUGAUUUGAUAGGUGGGUUGGUCCCCAGUGUCUGAAUGAAGUUAAAUUUAAGAACUGUUGUAGAAAACUGAGGUUCUAAUAGGAGCUGGAUCAAUAAGAGUUGAGUUGGGCUUUCACAAGAUGAUUAGUAUACAUCACAACAUGGAUUUUUGGUAUUUGGAGUAGUGUUUGCUACAGAACAGAUUGUAGGUAUUGCGUUUAUCUUGGUUGUCAUGCAGACACAUUGUGGGUAUGAAGAAGUGCAGCGGAAAUCGGAGGAAGGACAUUUUAAAAAAAGCCUGUGUAAGUUCUACACUGCAUCCCCCCAGCCUUUCAAAUGAUGACCAAAGAAUCCUGUUCCAUGUGUGAAUAUGAUGUGGAAACACCAGACUCAUGUUGUUCCCAAAGAAUAAAGGCGAGCUAGAAAUCAAGAGGUGUCUGGACCAGCAGUCCUCAUGAACUUUUAGUUUACAGCUAUAUUCCUUCUCUAUCUGUUUCACAGAAUCAUAAUGUUGUUAAUAAAAGAGAAUUAAUUUAAUAUCAUGGCCCAUGGAAGUCUCCACAAAAGAUCACUCUGCAAAAAGAUAAAGUAAUAAGAACUUGUAAAGGAGUACGGUCUUUAUUCCAAAUGUGGAUGUAUGUUAUCAAAUACUAUCUUUCAUUUGACUGUUAAUGUAUUUUUGAAGGAUGAAAAGGUAUUGUGUUGCUCACUUCAGUUUGUCUCAUUCAGAACAAGAAUUAAACAUAGGUAUGAAUCAUU